GUAGAGUUGAUCCUGGCGUCAGGAUGAACGCUGCGGGCGUGCUAACACAUAGCAAGUCGAACGGAGUAUUUGACUUUGAAUUCUAACGGAUGAAGAGUUGAUGCUAGUGGCGGACGGGUGAGUAACGCGUGGAGUAACCUGCCCCAUACCGGGGGAUAACAGCCGGAAACGGCUGCUAAUACCGCAUAAGCGCACGGGAAUGCAUGUUUCUGUGUGAAAAACUCCGGUGGUAUGGGAUGGAUCCGCGUCUGAUUAGCUGGUUGGCGGGGUAGAGGCCCACCAAGGCGACGAUCAGUAGCCGACCUGAGAGGGUGGCCGGCCACAUUGGGACUGAGGCACGGCCCAGACUCCUACGGGAGGCAGCAGUGGGGAAUAUUGCACAAUGGGGGAAACCCUGAUGCAGCGACGCCGCGUGAGUGAAGAAGUAUUUCGGUAUGUAAAGCUCUAUCAGCAGGGAAGAGAAUGACGGUACCUGAGUAAGAAGCCCCGGCUAACUACGUG
rnacentral:rRNA from 1 species